CCCUUAGAUGUCCGGGGCUGCACGCGCGCUACACUGAAUGAAUCAGCGUGCUAGAAAACCUUGUUUGACAUGGCUAGGUAACCCAUUGAAAAUCAUUCGUGAUUGGGAUCGGGACUUGCAAAUGUGUCCCUUGAACGAGGAAUUCCCAGUAAGUGCGGGUCAUCAGCUCGCGUUGAUUACGUCCCUGCCCUUUGUACACACCGCCCGUCGCUGCCCGGAACUGAGCCGUUUCGAGAAGACUGGGGAUUGCUGACUUGAGGCCUUCACGGGCUUCUAGUCGGUGAAAAGCAAUUUAAUCGCAGCGGCUUGAACCGGGCAAAAGUCGUAACA
rnacentral:rRNA from 1 species